AACUUUUGAACCAAUAGUUUGAUUUUUAUAAUUUUUUCACCUUUUAAAUACUGUACUGAUCCUCUUUCCAAUGAUAUAUAACAUAAGAAUGUUUAAACAAUUUAAAAUUUUUACUCACUUACCUAAUACAUGCAACAAUGGUGUCAUCAUAAAAAUAAAUUAAAAACUCUAACAAAUGUCAAAAAUUAUAUCUGAGUCCAUUAUUUAUAGUCCAUUAUUUACAUAUCCAUUAGUUUAACUAAUGGAUAAACGAAAUAUUUGUACUUACCAGCCUAACGGUUAUAUUAAAAGGUAAAGGAGAGUUUGAAUUUAAAAGUUUAAUUAAAAGGUAAAAAAGCGUUUGAAAGAAAAAAAAUGAUAAGUUGCUUCAAAUGAAACUAACUUUAUUCACUUAGACCACGCGAUGAAACAUUAAAAUACAUUUAGAAAAAACUUUUAUGAUUCAAAACGACACGGUGUACAAUCGGUUAAUAGCUGGCAUUGAAUGCCAAUAGUUAGCUAACUAUAGCCAAGACUGGCCCAUCAGUUGGACCAACUAAAGCGUAUUUAUUACCUAACUCUCCUUUGUUUUCUGAUGUCCGUAAAUGAGAGAAGAGAUCUUGAAUUUUAUAUAAACCUAGCUAAGAUUUUGUAAGAAGAUUAAGUUUAUUUUUUGUGAUAAAUAUGUGUUAAAAAAUUUUGAAUCAAUGAAAAACUGGUGUGUAACUUGCUCUUUUAAUGACUUUUUUCUUCUUCGGGCCCCUGAAAUACCACGGUCCAGUGUUUUAGAUGAAAGAAAUAAUUGUUGACUUUCAGUAUUUCAUUUUUUAUUAUGCAAAUUUACUUUAUGAUUUAUAAUGUUUAUAUAAGUUAGAAAUAAUAAUUCUUGUUUUAUACUUUUUACAUUGUUAUUUUCUUAUAUGAACAUUAUAUUUAUUGAUUAUGGAAAUUUUACUCAUAAACUCUCUAGGUUGUUUAAAACUUGACAUUACUAAUCUUGUUUAAAAUUUGAUUAAACUGUUUAUUAUUUCGAGUAAAAUAGGAAAUUACAAAUUACUAAACGAAUUACUAAACCAAUUUGUUCUUAGAACUUUGGUAAUAUAUAUUUUUUUGAAUUUUUUUUUGUUAUCAAGUCAUUAAAACAGUUGAUAACUAAUGCCAGUCAGGUAUAUACAAAGUUUAUUACGUUAUUGGAUGCAUAUCUUUUAAAAGUUGGUGGGAUUUCUUUGAAGAAAAACAUAAAAAUAUGGUAGAAAGUCUGAUGUCGUAAAAAGUUAUGUUCAGCUUCAACAUUAAAGAGAUCAAACGCCAUCAUAAGAUAAAGUGUCAAAACAGUAACAGAAAAAAGGUGUUUUGAAAAAGAGAUCAAACGCCAUGAUAAGAUAAAGUGUCGACAUAGUAACGGAAAAAAGGUGUUUUGAAAAAUUAAACCUUUUUGAACAGUUAAAAAAGGUAUUUCGUAAUUUUAAAAAAAAAGUUGGCAUUAGAAAAUGAUCAUUACAAAGAACGCUCUAAAUUGAAGUUUUUUUUAAAAAAAAAAUUUUUUUACUGGAAAGUUUGAAACUCUAUUUAAAACCGUUUUUCAAAAGACUUUUCAUAGAAACUGUACAUGAUGUCAAACUUUUGUAUGUUUAUUUUUAAAAUUUGAUGUUAAUAACUCUUAUGUUAAA